ACGAACGCUGGCGGCGUGGAUAAGACAUGCAAGUCGAACGGGAUAACAUCUGUAGCAAUACAGGUGUUAUUUAGUGGCGAACGGGUGCGUAACACGUGGGCAAUCUGCCGAGAAGUGGGGGAUAGCUCGCCGAAAGGCGAAUUAAUACCGCAUAUGAUCAGGGACGACAUCUUCCCAACAUCAAAGCCGGGGUAACCUGGCGCUUCUUGAUGAGCCCGCGGCCUAUCAGCUAGUUGGUGAGGUAACGGCUCACCAAGGCUAUGACGGGUAGCUGGUCUGAGAGGACGACCAGUCACACUGGGACUGAGACACGGCCCAGACUCCUACGGGAGGCAGCAGUGGGGAAUAUUGGACAAUGGGCGCAAGCCUGAUCCAGCAAUGCCGCGUGUGUGAAGAAGGCCUGCGGGUUGUAAAGCACUUUCAGCGGGGAAGAAAAGCUUAGGGUCAA
rnacentral:rRNA from 1 species